GUCCCCGUAGAUUAGUGGUUAGAUCACCACGUUGUGGAUAAUCCGGCUCCGUGGCGACGCAAGUUCGAUUCCUGCCGGGGACA